AACGAACGCUGGCGGCAGGCCUAACACAUGCAAGUCGAGCGCCCCGCAAGGGGAGCGGCGGACGGGUGAGUAACGCAUGGGAACGUACCCUUUGCUACGGAAUAGCCUCGGGAAACUGGGAGUAAUACCGUAUGUGUCCUUCGGGAGAAAGAUUUAUCGGCAAGGGAUCGGCCCGCGUUGGAUUAGGUAGUUGGUGGGGUAAUGGCCUACCAAGCCGACGAUCCAUAGCUGGUUUGAGAGGAUGAUCAGCCACACUGGGACUGAGACACGGCCCAGACUCCUACGGGAGGCAGCAGUGGGGAAUCUUAGACAAUGGGCGCAAGCCUGAUCUAGCCAUGCCGCGUGAGCGAUGAAGGCCUUAGGGUUGUAAAGCUCUUUCAGGGGGGAAGAUAAUGACUGUACCCCCAGAAGAAGCCCCGGCUAACUCCGU
rnacentral:rRNA from 1 species